AUACAGAGGGUGCAUGCGUUAUUCGGAAUUACUGGGCGUAAAGCGCGCGUAGGCGGAUGAUUAAGUCAGUUGUGAAAGCCCUGGGCUCAACCUAGGAACUGCAUCUGAUACUGGUCGUCUAGAGUUUAAGAGAGGGAAGUGGAAUUCCAGGUGUAGCAGUGAAAUGCGUAGAUAUCUGGAGGAACAUCAGUGGCGAAGGCGACUUCCUGGCUUAAAACUGACGCUGAGGUGCGAAAGCGUGGGUAGCGAACGGGAUUAGAAACCCCUGUAGUCC
rnacentral:rRNA from 1 species